GGGUCGGAGUUAGCUCAAGCGGUUACCUCCUCAUGCCGGACUUUCUAUCUGUCCAUCUCUGUGCUGGGGUUCGAGACCCGCGGGUGCUUACUGACCCUUUU
rnacentral:vault_RNA from 1 species